GGGGUAGAGGCCCACCAAAGCGACGAUCAGUAGCCGACCUGAGAGGGUGACCGGCCACAUUGGGACUGAGACACGGCCCAAACUCCUACGGGAGGCAGCAGUGGGGAAUAUUGCACAAUGGGGGAAACCCUGAUGCAGCGACGCCGCGUGGGUGAAGAAGUAUUUCGGUAUGUAAAGCCCUAUCAGCAGGGAAGAAGAUGACAGUACCUGACUAAGAAGCUCCGGCUAAAUAC
rnacentral:rRNA from 1 species